CAGGUAGGACUACCCGCUGAACUUAAGCAUAUCAAU
rnacentral:rRNA from 4 species